ensembl:lncRNA
CUCUUACCAGACUUACCAGUCACGACUGAGAGAGAGAGAGCGUCUGAGGCAGAAGGCCCCCCUACUUUGGCAUCUGGCUCUCAGACCUCAGGGAGCACGCGCUGCCUCGGCUCUACUUACUGUAAUGGCAGGUGAGGAAACAGGAGUCGAAGGAUAGGAUGUCUUCUCUGUUUAACCCUGGCUUCCUUUGGACCACAUUGGUGAUCAAUAGGAAGAAGGGAAAUUAUCCACUGGCCUGCAUAUGUUCACCUGGUAAAUAUGGCAUCGUUUCUGAGAUACAAAAUUCAUCUCUUAUCUUUUCAGCGCUUUCCAUGGAAAAUCUAUUUGUGUUGGUAUGUCUAUGAAAAUACUGCUGCUAAGGUCCUAAGACAUCUUCCUCCAUGCAGUUGCAAAUACCCCAGCAAGGCCGACUAUUACACCUUAUGAAAGAUUAAUUGUGCUGAUCAUUAAUUCAACCUCAAGGCUGACGCUGCUCUGCUGAGACCCCCUUGAUGUUAUGUCCUCGCUUUGAGUUCAUGAAAUAGAGUGAAAUAAGUGAGUGAGUGAGGAAGAGAGAAACACUGAGUGUGUGAGUGAGUGACUCAGUGAGAAAGAGUGAGAGGAGUGAGGGAGUGAGCUUGUGGAUGACUGAGUGACUUUGUAAGUGCGUGAGAGAGAGAGUGAGGAGACUUAUGUUGUGAUUGAACAAGUGAGUGAGAUAGUAAGAGUGUAAGUGGUGGAGAUAGAGAAUGAGCGAGAGAUUUGAUUUUGAGUUUCAAAAGUCUUUAUUUUCUUUAAAAACAAGGUGAAGUCUAAAUGAUAAACUAUUCGUUGAUCUGGACUCUGGCUACACUCCUCAUUCGUUCUCCACCAGUAUCUUCUUCAGGUGGACAGGAUUCUCCUCCUGUGCCGAAUGGACGCUGCUCUCUGUCCAGAAGCACCUUCGCUUCCUGUAUUUAGCUUGAGUAUGAUCUCACUCAUCCGGAAGACUUGCUGCUGGGUGUAUCUCCCACUACCCUUUUUGUGCAAGAGAACUUCUCUAAGUCAGAGAAGUAUUCCUCCAAGUCCACCCCCUUUGUUCUUCAAGAAGAGCUUCACUCUCCCCACCCCGUACCUACUGGUGACUGUGCCAAUAGAAGAGGUGCUGUCGGUGGAGUCCCAAUCAGCAAAGGACCGAGCUUCCCCUCUGGUUCUCCUUCCCUUCUUUGACCCCUUCUUGGCUCGAGAGGCUCCUGCUGCUCCUCGUCUUCCUUGACUUCGGGGGGGCUUUACGCCCCAUCUCCUCCCCCACCAUGCCCUCAUUGCUGUUUUCAAACAGCAUUUCACUAGCGUGUCUCUCUUGACUUAUACCCAGCUCCUCCAGCCCUCCAUCCCCCUGAACCACAUGCUGGACCCCAUUCACCUUCUACUCUCUUGACAUACCUGUCUGACCCCACCUGCUUCUUCAUUCACCCCCACACUCGACCUGGGCCUCAAUCGUCCCCUCAGUCACUCUGUCACUCCCCUGCCCGACCAGCUGGACUCCAUCACCCCCCCCCAGCUUCCGCCCUCUCACACACCACUCAUCCGCCGGACUUCACUUGUUCCUUCAUCCCACAUCUGCCCUACCUAAUCUGCCCAAACACCAGGUUAAGCUCCUGGGUCCUAUUGUUGAGGACCAUGAGAUGUUGUCUUUUGUGUGACACCACGUGUGUCUGUAGCGGGGACUUGCACCCCAAAGAGACGUUCCUUACGGGAGACACCACCAUCCUGUACUUUGACAGUUCUCUAACCAGAGCCUCGUCCCCGAUGAACGGAGGGACGUUGGAAAAGGAUGACUCUCACCGCCGGUGAUGAGAGCCAGAACGGGCACGAUCGUGCAGUUCAAGGAAGGAGGAAGAUGACCACCGCGUUGUUCAUACGUGCUGCGGACCUCACGCUGUGGUGACCCGCCAACUCUCCCACAGCCAGGCUGCUUGUCAGGGAGUGUGCGUGGGAGGCAGGACUCAAACGCAGAGUUCAAAAACAAAAGGACUUUAAUAGUCAAAAACGGGCAAAAACACACAGGAGCCAGGGGGGAAAAAGGCAGGCAGGAACGCACAUCCAGGACGAUAGACAGGGACAUGCGUGGCAAAAGACAAUGACGCGACAAGUGACACACGGCUUAAAUACACAAGGGAGGUGCAGGUGAUUGGACACAGGUGGAAACAAUCAUGACACGACAGACAAUCACCGGGGCUGACAGGACAAGGCCGGAAGUGAAGUUACCCAGGGAGACAAGAGGAAAGAAACUAUAACUUGCAGUAUUAGUGAGACCAUAAAAUCAAGUAUUUACACAAAAAAACUCUUGUUUGUUACAAUAAAGUUAAUCCAUGCCAUUUUUGUUUUGAAAGGGUGAGAUCCGGUGGGGGAGAAAGGAGGAGAGAAGACAGAAUGGAUUUUUGGCUGACACAACCAAAAGUUUAUUAAAUGGCAGCUCUUCUCACAAGCAUUAUGGUUGGAUAUCCCCAGAGCGGCUUUUACUUUCAGAUAGUGUGUAGGGGAGGUGGAGGGUGGCAGGGUUGUGGGUCGGAUUAGUAUAUCAAUGCCUUGGACUAGUCAUAUGUGUGUGUGCUUGUGUGUGCGUGCGUGCGUGCGUCCAACUCUAAUUAGCUAAUAUCAAUCACUUAAGUGACAGAGUACAUGCUGCGUGCCAGUUUCCUUGGUUGCCAUAGUGAUAAGGGCACCUGUGACAGACGUGAUAAAUCAAAUACAAUGAGUCCAAUGCAGAGGUACACUUUAUAUGUUUAUUUGGUCUGAAAUAGGAAAUUUAGGGGUAGUUAAGAAAGCAGACAGUACACGUUUUCUAAAACGGUCUGGUCAUCAGAUUUAAAAUUGAGUCCAAUGGAGCAGUCGGAGUUCAUCUUGCAUUGCGUCUUGCUGAGCCGAAUAUGGAAGUCUGUUGGAGUCCAUGAAAAAUGUCCAUUAUCACUACAAAAUGUUCUAUGUUAUGGCCUAAAAUGGUCUAUGAAGAUUUGGAAAUGGUGGCAAAAUAAAAACUUGAAAGUUCCUCUCCAUUCUGUGAUGACAUCACUCACUAUGUGCAGUGCAAUACACUCCCAUUAUAAAAUCAGAAAAAGUCCCAACCAUUUUUAACAUUCGAACAGUAAUUAAAGUACAUAAUUUGCUCAACUAAGUCCAGACUUGUUUUAACGUUUUACACUUUAAAUCAUGUUUCUACAUUAAACUAUGGCCAUUGACAAUAAGCGCAAAUUUGAGCUAUUUUAGUUCUCUUUCCGCCAAAACCCUGUCGAAAUUAAUGUAAAAAUGAGCUCUGUUUUCUUGCAAUUGCAACAUUACCAUAAUUAAUCAAGUGUAUGUUUAUGGUCCUAUGUGUAGGAACUCUGCCCAAGCAAGUCCCUCAGACUGAUUCCUCUGCGUUCACCCUCACGCCCUCACCCUCUGCCACUUUUCCAUCAAGCAUGCACUAGCUUGUGUUUUCUAUUUUCUUCAGCAGAGAUGUCAUAGAAAUCAGUCCAAGGAUUGGUACAUGAUGUCAUCCUCUGAUGGACAUAUUUCUGCAGGCUAUGUAUUCACAUCUACGCAUGGCUAGCAUCACUUACGGUCUGAUCUGUAGCACUUUUACUUCAGCGGCUCUGUAUGUGAUCUUAGAGAAGUGCUUACUACUUGGAGACGGUGCUUUCUGGGUCCGACCGAUGCGAGGUGCGUUCCUUCCCGCCGCCCCCCUCGCCAUCCACGGCUUAAAUCUUCGGCUGCUCUCCAGCCACGCCGCCUGCCAAGGGCUCCUUUUAGAAUAACUUAUUUUCCCCGUUAAGAUGGUUCAGCUACUGUAGAGAAAAGGGCACCGUCUCUCGCUCUUUAAUCUCAUGAAGUGCUCAGCGAGAACGACAGCUUUGUUUCUCCGACGCGCCCUGAAACAAGCUCCAUCUCACGCGCUUGAGCGCCCGCUCAGCAUGUCGCCGUCGUAGACGAGCUUUGGCAUGUUUGGCAGAGCGCCUUGAGCGCUGUGUACAACCAGUAUGGAUCAACCGAUUAACCAAUUGAUCCAUAUAUAAGGCGCUUCGGAUUAUAAGGCACUGUCGUUUUUUGAGAAAAUUAAAGGCUUUUAAGUGCACCUUGGAGUGCGGAAAAUGCGGUAUAUUUACUUUAAUACUACAAGAGGGCACCCAGUUGGACAUUGUUUUGUUUGGCGGCGCCUUUUGUUGAAUGACGACAGGCGGACAAGAGCAGCCGUUUCGAGCGAGAGCCUUAUUGUUUUAUUAAUCUGUUCGUUUAAAUUGUUUGUGCUUCAUCAAUUAAUAUUUCUCAGAACGAAUGUGCCGCAUCAUGAAUAUUUUUAUAUUAAUUUCAAACUUUUCAAAAUUUAAAAUUAAAAACAUUUUAUUUAUUGUAAAUAACCUCUGCAGUACCUUCGCGGCCCACACUUUGGGAAUCUGUUCUAGAUCAUGAUUAUGUUGACUGAAAAAAACAGAAAUAGGACCUUAGUAAAGUAGCAACUAUCCAAUGAUGCAUCUGCAUCAUCACAUAAACAUCUUAAAGUCUUCACCAACGUCAUCACGACAAUAGAAGACAGAGGGGAUAAAUAAUCGAGAUCACACGCACACACAUAAAUUGGACGUAUAUGACUAAAAUUGUAGAUACAAAUCCUCAAGGAGUAGCAGCCAUAUAUUAAGUUCAAUGAGAGAGAAAGACAGCUACAUUAAUGCAUCUUUCAUGAGCUUGGCCCCAGAGUCCUGCAGCAGCCCUGCUAGCCACCUGACUCCCCGUGAACGUUAAGAUUUUCUACUAUUGUCAGCUUCAUGCAGCACAUCAGCGGGCCGGGGGAGCUCUGGCCCUCAAAUGCUAUCAGAUUACAUUUCACAACCCUGGGCUAAUCUGCAAAGACAGUGUGUGUGGAGAGUACAAAUGUGUGCAUCUGCAUGUAUUUCAGUGUGUGUGGAGAGUUCAGAGGGUUACAACUUGACACACUCUACUUUUAAUCAGUCCUCAGUUAGUCUUCUUCUAAUCCCUUUGAUGUCGGCAGAAUUAUAAAUCCAGCUUUGGUACUGGUUAUUAUUACUUUAAAUAUAUUUGAAGUGUAUAACAUGACAAUUGUUGGGAUGAGUUGGUUUUGAGUUUUGCCUCCAGGGUUCCAAGAAUACCGUAGGAAUUGUAAACAGGAACCACCAUUUAACUGUCCUUGAAAAACAAAAUCUGCACAGAAAAGAUACUUUAAUGCUGUUUUAUUAGUUGGGUUGGUAAAAAAGUCAAUAAAUGUAUGAAUGUGCUUGAGUUGUACAGUAUCAGUGUUCACAGCUACUUACAUUAAUAUAAUUACAUAUUUAAGUAUAAUAGCAAGUAAUAGGAUGUUUACCGGGUUUCCUUGGUCAUAUUACUGAAAACAACACAGGCUGCUAUGGGUGUAAGCACACAGAUCCCUUCGCACGUCCAAUUUCAAAGUCGUUUUGCACAAACAAGUACUAAAAUAGAAGUUGCAUGUGUAGAUGCCUUUAACAAUGUGCUUCGCAUUGUCAUUUUUAAAUUUCAACUGAGGAAGAAAAAUACUGAGAACGUCCCUCUUUCUCACCCUCUGUGUGAGUUUAUUAAUUGAAAUAAUACAUUCUUUACUCUAGUUGAAUAAUUUAUUCAACUUUAAGGCACUCGUUUUGCAUCAGUUCACAUCAGUCACCUCUAGUCUGAAACCCAAAGCUGGUGCUCUGUAAUGCAUUUAGCAAGACACCAAACCUCUAAUAGAACUGCUAGAAGGAGGACUUAAAUAUCACAAAAUGUUUAAACAAGCCAUUAAUCACAAGCAAAACAAAGUCACUACAUUUGAGCUACUUGGCAGAUGAAUUAGUUGUCCUGGUAAAUGGACUUUCAUUUAUAUUGUGGCUUUCUAGUGUUGUGAACACUUGAUAUGCAUAAUACAUUUAGCUUUUCAGUCACAGACAUGAACUGUUACAAUUACCUUAGCAGAUGUACUAUACUGUUCAACACUUAAUGUGAUGGGUUAUGCAAGUUUAAUGAGUUGACUUUUCCUUAGCCUGGAAAGCUCAGUUGGUGCUCUCUUAAGUUUUAAUGUAGGGACACCUCUCCAGCUACUACCCCCACUUGGUAAAGACACACAGCUACUAUCAUAUAUGAUUAUAGACAUUACAUAUAUGGGAAAUAUACCCUGUUCUAUCAACAGUGACGGUCUGGAAAAAAUGAUCAUAUAAAUCAUUUGUGAAGGCAAAAUAGCUAUGACUUUGGUGAUCAACAAAUGGUUCUUACUUUACAGAACUGUAAUCUGUUUCAGUUUAUGUCUUUCUUUGAAAAUGUGUAUUUGAGUAUUCCUUGGUCACAAUUUGGGUGUUGCGUUUGGAUUUUUCCCAUUUUCUAAGUGUGUUUUCACAUAGGAAACAGAAGCAUAGACCGUUCCCUAUACAGAUAUCAGAGUAGAAAAUAGCAAAUAUGUAGGCCAUGUGUAGAGCAUCAUUGGGCGUUGGUAGUACAAAGUAUUGUGUAUUCAGAUAAAGGAAUAUUUGAGCUGCCUUUGGCGCCCCGUUGAGGGAUGAGCUUCAGGUUAAAAGGUGGGUGCCCAAAUAGUGUGCAGCACUACGCCGUCUCUCCACCAUGGGCCUUCAGGGUUUUCAGACUAUGCACAAAGCAGGUCUUUCUCAGACUGUGAAACGUUCCCUGUGAACACACAAGCUACAAUGGGCAAUAAAAAAUCUAUUGCACACAGAGAUUGACUUUACCUUAUCAAAAAACACCAUUCUGGCCAUUGUCAGCGGCAUCCAUAAGCUUAGUAGUGGCUUGCAAGCAGGUUAUGCAAAAUAUUACAGUCGGACAAAUUAAACCAAUAUAAAUACGUUAAUGUAGCAAUCUAUUAACUAACAAUGAUAUCAUGUGCUCACAACAUUAAUUUAUUUAUUGGAGCAUUUGGAGGGGCUCAACACUGCUGUGCACAUUAACUAAGACAAUGGAGAAAUAGCUGCACUUAUAAUCAGUGCUGUAGUGGUAAAAUUAGAGGUGGGUAAACUCUGAAUUUUGUGAUCAUACAGACCUCGACGCAAUGUGAACACCAAACGUCGCGACUCUGUAAGGCUGUCCUGGCUGUAUUGCAUUAUGUUAUCAGUAAAAGUCAUAUACAAUCAAUGACAAUGAAUAAAUGUGUUAGUAGUUUGUAGUUCAUUAAAUCUAUGAAAACAGUGAAGAAAAGUAUGUCAACACAACACAACAACACAAUUGCAGAUUAAGAACUAUCUACAUAUGGAGUCUCCUUUUUACAGUAGUGCCCAGAGGGCCUCCUUGUCCUCCACGUCAGGUCCU